rnacentral:lncRNA from 1 species
AGACUUGUUGCACUAAGGCUUGGCGAGCCUGCUCUGCUCAAGGCCUCCUUAUUAAUAACGCCACCCGCCCCCGCCGCUCACGAUGGCGCCAGGCAUAGAGGGGGAUGGGACCAGGCGGUGGCUGACCCUCAGACAGUGCUGGUUCUUUACGAAUCAGUCUGCAGACUCCAGGGCUACCCCUUCGAACCCCACUUACUGACCAAGCAAGAGCAGGAGAGCGUGCCUAACUCGAGGUCCCCAGGUGGGCAGCGUGGAGCCCCACAGACUUCCAACCAGCGAUGGACUGGGCAAGGGACCCACGUUCAGAAUCACCUAGCAUCAGGUCCGCCAACAGGCCAGAAUCCACUCGCCCCUCGCUUCGUCCCCCUAAUUCCUCGUCC